GUCAGGAUGGCCGAGUGGUCUAAGGCGCCAGACUCAAGGUUGAUACCUUCCCCUCUGAUAGAAGGGUCAUAAAUGGGCAUUCUGGUCCUCUCUGAGGGCGUGGGUUCGAAUCCCACUCCUGACA